UACGGAGGGGGCGAGCGUUAUUCGGAAUUAUUGGGCGUAAAGGGCGCGUAGGCGGCUGUACAAGUCAAAGGUGAAAUCCCUCGGCUCAACUGAGGAACUGCCUUUGAAACUGUACGCUUGAGGCCGGGAGGGGGUAGCGGAAUUCCCAGUGUAGCGGUGAAAUGCGUAGAUAUUGGGAGGAACACCAGUGGCGAAGGCGGCUCUCUAGUACGUGACUGACGCUGAGACGCGAAAGCGUGGGGAGCGAACAGG
rnacentral:rRNA from 1 species